CAGAUCUGCACUGUAAGAAAAAUGAGAAGAAGUCCUUAAGGCAGAAGAAAAAUAAUACCAGAUGGAUAUGUGGAUCCACAUAAAGGAAUGAAGAGCACAGGAAAUAGUAACUAUACUGUCUUGCUCUGUCACCCAGGCUGGAGUGUGGUGGUGCGAUCUUGGCUCACUGCUAGACUGGUUGGAUCCAGGUUGAUGUCCUUUUGCUUCCUUACUAUGAAUUCAAGCUGAAGUAGCAGCCUCCAGCUCAGAUGUUGACAGGCAGGCAAGGCAGCUUCCCAAAAUGAAUCCAAGCUGGAAUGAAUUGUGACUUGAAGCACUCUUGGUUGAAAAUGACUCCUCUCCAAGACAUGUGGCCCCCGGACGACAUUUGUGCUGAGGGUUGAUUCUGAAACAUAAAGGCUGUUUCUUUUCUCCAAACUUUGUUGCCAAUUUAGAGUUUAUGGAAAGAGCUGUCAAGCCGACAAGCUAUCAAAGCGAUGGGCUGCAUUGCAGGGAGCAAGGCAGAGCAUCUGGGAAAUCAAAGACCAGGAAAUGCAAAUGCACACACGUUCAUCACCUUGAUUAGUGUGAGCAAGUUUGUCUCACCCUGGCCAACAUUUGAUGGACCAUUAAAUCUGGAAAGGAUGUGGAGUCCAAGUUCUCUUUAUUCCCAAGCAAACCAACCAAAGCCCAUAGAGGGUAGGUGACUUUUAAUGGUUGAGUUGGGACUGCUAUCUUUUCUCAGGUCUAAUGCUCUUUUCAUUGUAUUUGUGUUAAAAAUAAAAAGCUUAUAUGAAAGUGACACUGAGUUGUUUACAGGCUGUGCCAUCUGUUAUAAUAAAGUAAGAUCCCUCAAAACCUUAACUACUUUUUAAAGGUAAACUCUUGAAUUUUUCCUAAACAGAG